UACUCUGUAAUAAUAGGCACUCGCUCAAAUAUUUUCCUCGGUUAAAUAUUUGAUCUCGUUUUUAUUCCAUUUAUUAAAAGCCACGAGCGAAAGGCGCGGGGUCGUUGGGUGGUGGUGGUGGUGCUGCUGCUACUGCUCCUACUGCUCCUACUGCCUGCUGCUGAUGAAAAGAGGGUGUGUGUGUGUGUGAGAGAACACGGACCGCACGCUCGCGAAAUUCACAUCUACGAUGAUUUAACGAGCCUGCAAAUAGAAAGACGACGACGACGACGACGACGACGACGACGACGACGUCAGUCGGGUCGCGAAAACUUCCAAGGACCGAUUAGAUCUUUGCGUUUGUAUAUUUUCUCAUCGGUUCCACGUUCGCAGCGAUUCCUCCUAACAUCUUCUUUUUCAAUUUCAAUAAUCUCUGUAACUCGAAGGAAGAUUCGCUAGAUUCGUCAUUUUGUUCGUGUCAGUCAAUAAGCGACUUCUCCAAGACUCGCGUGUUUUCCUUUCGUGGUCGACGCCGAAGAACGUAUGUAUAUAUACCUACAUGUUCUGGGAAAUCUAUGGUAAAUAGAACCAAGAGUUCGAUCAAAUUCUUCCCACGUUUGAUAUGAUUUCGGUGUCGGUCUAGAAAAAUCGGUAAUGAAUGCGAUUGGAAAAGUAUCGAAGUACGUGAUACUUAACGAGAAAGACAGAUAGAGAGGCUGGAUGAGACGGAUAUUGAAAGAUCGAUCUUCUCUUCGGAUAAAUGACCUUGGCGUUUUAUCAAGAUUAGCAUCGAUAGCGAAUUCUUUAACGUUAGAGCUUCGAUGGUCAGAGUCAGUCAAUAUAUUCAGGGUGGCGAAGGAGAAAAGCGGAGGAGAGAAAAAGAGAAAGAUAGAAAGUCGCACUAGAACGAAGGGUGGAAUGAUCGUAAACGAGACCAAGUGGGAGAGUAGAAAAGUAGGA
rnacentral:lncRNA from 1 species